AUUUGAUGAUGAGAGCAUUGAAUUUGUAAUUAUUCAAACCUUUCCCAAGUUUUGUAUAAUUCCUCAGUAUAUUUCUGCCUAAAGGUUUGGAUCUUAUUCCUAAGAUC